GUGGGAGGGGGCUUGCCCCCGAUGACGGUGGAUCAGUCAGCUUACCUGUUACUGACCCACUGCUAUCGGGGGCAAGCCCCCUCCCAC
rnacentral:misc_RNA from 1 species